ensembl:lncRNA
AACAUAUUCACAUGACAAGAGGAUCAAGAAGCAGAAAAUCAAGGAGCAGAAAAUGAACAUGUCUUUCUUGAUAUUCUUGCAAAGGUUUCAGAGUACUCUCUUAAAUUCAUUGAGCUGGAUGAGAACUUCAAGAGAUCCAUCGAGUUCAGGAUGAUCCAGGAUUAAAGAAAGCAUGUACAUUGCAGAGAGGGAGCACAAGUAAAGCCUAGCUAGAAUGGAGCACACAUUCUUCAGUGAAAAAGUUUCACCUAGAGGAGGAGGCAGAGCAGAGGAUCGCCCAACUGGAUGAGAGGGCCCACAAUGAAGCCGUUGUAAGACCAGUGAGCUGAUGGAGAAUGUGUCCCAGGUGAUGGCCCAGGAGAUAGAGCUGAGGGGGAAGGUGGGGACCCUGGAGUAGGGCCUAGGGCUCAUGGUGGGGGAGUUUGAGAGACAGCACCAGGCCCUGGACAGCACCCAGGCCGGCCAAGUGGAGUUGGACAAGUUGCAGAAGCUGCUGGCCAUGCAGGAGAAGGAGAUGGGGCGAGUGAAGCAGCAGCCACAGCAUUGUGUAGCAAUGCACAGAGCUAGAAUGAUUCUUCCAGGAGGCCCUGGGCAAGGUGAAGCAUGAGAUCCAGGCCUGCCGGCUGCAGUACAGGCAGGAGGCCCACCGUAGGAGGAUGAGAAAGGCCUGGUCAGGCAAGCAGGAGUACUCCUGAAUCCAC